GUUGAGGAGAAUGUUGGCUGGCUCGAGGCUUUUAACAAUUGAAAGUUCAUCGUAGUUUCAAUGAAGUGAAAAACUAUAAGACUUCGGACCAGGCUUCAUUCCCCUCAAA
rfam:Lupinus angustifolius cultivar Tanjil chromosome LG01, whole genome shotgun sequence.